rnacentral:rRNA from 1 species
GGAAUCUUCGGCAAUGGGGGCAACCCUGACCGAGCAACGCCGCGUGAGUGAAGAAGGUUUUCGGAUCGUAAAGCUCUGUUGUAAGAGAAGAACGUGUGUGAGAGUGGAAAGUUCACACAGUGACGGUAACUUACCAGAAAGGGACGGCUAACUACGUGCCAGCAGCCGCGGUAAUACGUAGGUCCCGAGCGUUAUCCGGAUUCAUUGGGUUUAAAGGGUGCGCAGGCGGCCCGGUAAGUCAGCGGUGAAAGUCAGGGGCCCAACCCCGGAAGUGCCGUUGAUACUGUCGGGCUGGAAUGCGGUCGAGGCGGGCGGAAUGUGGUGUGUAGCGGUGAAAUGCAUAGAUAUGCCACAGAACGCCGAUAGCGAAGGCAGCUCGCCAGGCCUGCAUUGACGCUCGGGCACGAAAGCGUGGGGAUCAAACA